GAAGAAGCCAUUUCCCAUCCUGCCCAUUCUUGUUUUUAUGCACAGUAAUCUCCUGCCUGAUGGUAGAAAGUCAAAGAGGAUGCUGGAUGAAUGGAUAAUGUCUCCAAUGGAUGAGUCCUUGAAAGGUAUUUUCCAGGCCAUCUUGUCUUUGUUGAAUGUUUGCUGCCCUUUCAUCUGAAUCCAAUGUAUGACUUACAUCUAAAAAGACUGAAGAUUGGCUUUAUUUGUCACAAGUACAUUGAAACAUCAAAACAUAAAGAACGUGGGAGAAACUGGAACACCUGGAGGAGCCCCACUCGGUCAGCGGGAGAACAUAUAACUGCUGACACACAGCAUCGGAACUGAUCCACUGGCACUGUAAUAGUGUUUUGCUAAUUACUGUACUUCUGUGCUGCCCAUCUCUAGAACAUCCCAACCACUUUUUGUUACUCUGUUUGGAUUCAUUCUUGGAUAAGAGUCAAUUGUUUGCUAUUUGUACUUUGAACAGACCGAAGGCAUUGCUGCUGACACCUGCUGUAACUUCAUGCUCUCAUUAUCAAUUCCAAGUUUUUCAUCAGCCGUUGUUUCAGGUUCAACAAGUCUGUUCAGAUCCGCAUUGUUUUGCUUUAUUGCAAGCUGGCUUUAAAAUACUUAUAAAAUUUUUAAAAGGGCUUGUUAGGUGAAGGGAGGAUGUUUCCUCGGAUUUUGGAAUCGACAGGUAGACUAUUUUGGGCUGAGAUUUUCAUUCCGAGGGUGGAGGAUCUUUUAAAAUCUUUAUCCCAGAGGACUAUGAACUCAAUCAUUAUGUUCAUCUGGAUAUUGAGGGAAGUAAGGGAUAAAAUAGGUUGGCAGAGGAUUGGGCAUAACCUCGAUGAACAGUGGAGCAUGCUUUUGUUUCCAUGGCGACAUGGUAGAGUAAUUGUUAGCACAAUAUUUUGCAGUGCAGGCGACCCUGGUUCAAUUUCUGCCACAGCCUGUAAGGAGUUUAUAUGUUCUCCCAGUAACUGCAUGGGUUUAUAAACACUGAAUCAUAGAAAACCUACAGCACAAUACAGGCCCUUCAGCCCACAAUGCUGUGCCGAACAUGUACUUACUUUAGAAAUUACCUCUGGUUACCGAUAGCUCUCUAUUUUUCUAAGCUCCCUGUACCUAUCCAGGUGUCUCUUAAAAGAGACUAUUGUGUCCGCCUCCUCCACUAUUGCUGGCAGCCCUUUCCACGCACUCACUACUCUCUGCAUAAAAAACUUACCCCUGACAUCUCCUCUGUAACUACUUCCAAGCACCUUAAACCUGUGUCCUCUCAUGUUAGCCACUUCAGCCUCUGAGUAUCCACACGAUCAAUGCCUCUCGUCAUCUUAUACACCUCUAUCAGAUCACCUCUCAUCUUCCGUCGCUUCAAGGAGAAAAGGCCAAGUUCACUCAACCUAUUCCCAUAAAGCAUGCUCCCCAAUCCCGGCAAUGUCCUUGUAAAUCUCUUGUGCACCCUUUCUAUAGUUUCCUGUAGUGAGGUGGCCAGAACUGAACAUAGUACUCCAAGUGGGGUCUGACCAGGGUCUUAUAUAGCUGUAACAUUACCAUCUUUUUCUUCUAAACUCAAUCCCACCGUUGUUGAAGGCCGAUACACCGUAUGCCUUCUUAACCACACAGUCAACCUGUACAUGUGUUCUUGUUUCCUCCCACAGUCCAAAGAUUACCUUUUGGUAGGUUAAUUGAUCAUUGUGAAUUGUUCUGUGAUUAGGCAAGGG